GUGAAUCAUCAAAUUUUUGAACGCAAAUUGCACUCUCCGGUUUUCCGGGAGAGUAUGCCUGUUUGAGGGUCAGCCUAAAAAAAAUCGACAUUGUUGCUGUUAUUUAAUGGUGACUUUCGUCGGAGAUUGGGUCAUCUUAAAUCCUUUUGGUUUUAAGCGACUUAAAAUUUUCUUUUUGGUUCCAUGAACGUUUCUAAGAUUUUUAUUUCUUAUACGUUUAAGGUUUAUCGAUCUUUUAUUAGACGUGACCGUCGCAUCGGAUCGCGUUCAUAAUGUUGACUUUCGUUAACUGACCUCAGA
rnacentral:misc_RNA from 1 species